rnacentral:rRNA from 1 species
CCUACGGGAGGCAGCAGUGAGGAAUAUUGGUCAAUGGGCGCGAGCCUGAACCAGCCAAGUAGCGUGAAGGAUGACUGCCCUACGGGUUGUAAACUUCUUUUAUAAAGGAAUAAAAUGUUCCAAGUGUGGGUUUUGGUAUUGACCAUAUGAAUAAGGAUCGGCUACCUCCGUGCAAGCAGCCGCGGUAAUACGGAGGUUCCGAGCGUUAUCCGGAUUUAGUGGGUUUAAAGGGAGCGUAGGUGAAUUGUUAAGUCAGUGGUGAAAGUUUGCGGCUCAACCGUAAAAUUGCAGUUGAAACUGGCAGUCUUGAGUACAGUAGAGGUGGGCGGAAUUCGUGGUGUAGCGGUGAAAUGCUUAGAUAUCACGAAGAACUCCGAUUGCGAAGGCAGUUCACUGGACUGCAACUGACACUGAGGCUCGAAAGUGUGGGUAUCAAACAGGAUUAGAUACCCCUGUAGUC